rnacentral:rRNA from 1 species
AGAGUUUGAUCCUGGCUCAGGACGAACGCUGGCGGCGUGCCUAACACAUGCAAGUCGAGCGGGGACACGGGGCUUCGGCCUUGUGUUCUAGCGGCGGACGGGUGAGUAACGCGUGAGCAAUCUGUCCCAGACAGGGGGAUAACAACUGGAAACAGUUGCUAAUACCGCAUAAGACCACGGCCUCGCAUGGGGCUGGGGUAAAAGUGGAAACACAGUUUGGGGUGAGCUCGCGUCCCAUUAGCUAGUUGGUGAGGUAACGG